rnacentral:rRNA from 1 species
UACGUAGGUCGCGAGCGUUAUCCGGAUUUAUUGGGCGUAAAGCGAGGGCAGGCGGUUAAGUAAGUCUGAAGUGAAAAGGUGUGGCUUAACCAUAGUAUGCUUUGGAAACUGUUUAACUUGAGUGCAGAAGGGGUGGGUGGAAUUCCAUGUGUAGCGGUGAAAUGCGUAGAUAUUUGGAGGAACGCCGGUGGCGAAAGCGGCCCUCUGGUCUGUAACUGACGCUGAGGCUCGAAAGCGUGGGGAGCAAACAGG